rnacentral:rRNA from 1 species
CCUACGGGAGGCUUCAGUGGGGAAUCAUGGUCAAUGGGCGAAAGCCUGAACCUGCGACGCCGCGUGAGUGAUGAAGGUCGUAAGAUCGUAAAACUCUUUUCAGGGAUCUUAAAGCCUGUCUGUCAACAACAGGCAGGUCUGACUCUCCCUGGAAGAAGCCCCAGCCAACUACGUGCCAGCAGCUGCGGUAAUACGUAGGGGGCGAGCGUUAUUCGGAAUUACUGGGUGUAAAGGGUAUGUAGGCGGCCCUUCAAGUCGCGUGUCAAAGUCCAGUGCUCAACGCUGGGUGUGCGCGCGAUACUGACGGGCUUGAGGGCUGGAGAGGUGAGCGGAAUUCCCGGUGUAGUGGUAAAAUACGUAGAGAGCGGGAGGAACACCAGCGGCGCAGGCGGCUCACUAGACAGUUUCUGACGCUAAGAUACGAAAGCGUGGGGAGCAAACA